rnacentral:rRNA from 1 species
GUGUCAGCAGCCGCGGUAAUACGGAGGAUGCGAGCGUUAUCCGGAUUCAUUGGGUUUAAAGGGUGCGUAGGCGGCUUCUUAAGUCAGUGGUGAAAUCCUGCGGCUCAACCGUAGAACUGCCAUUGAUACUGAUAAGCUUGAAUAUAGUUGAGGUAGGCGGAAUGAGUAGUGUAGCGGUGAAAUGCUUAGAUAUUACUCAGAACACCGAUUGCGAAGGCAGCUUACCAAGUUAUAAUUGACGCUGAGGCACGAAAGCGUGGGGAUCAAACAGGAUUAGAAACCCUCGUAGUCC